rnacentral:pre_miRNA from 1 species
UUAGAGUGUAUACUGUGAGAGGCCUAACUCAACCCCAAAAGCUAACUCAAGGGAUGAGGGUUGCCCCUUAUUUAUAUAUUCUAA